UUGGGACAUUUAUUGAAGGACAAUAUCUGGAUAUAUACCCGGGGAAGAGCUAAGAUUGUAAUGCAAAUAGGCAUUCCAAUGCAGCAUGUACUAAGAAAACACUAAAGACUGCUCAAAGAAACAAUUCCUAGUCUACACUGUCACUUGAACAUUGAAAUGCAAAACUGAUUAGAACAUACUACGUGUUAAAAACAUCAUGCAAAGGACACGAAAGGCAACAUUGUCAAGGCAUUUUGGAGGGUGCAUCAGCUCACUUCUUGAAAAAUAAGAGAAGAUGGAAUCCUGCUUUUCCUUUCAGGGUAAAAAGUAGUCUCCAUGAAAGAAAAAAAAAUCUCAAUGAAGAACUCCAGACAGAACGCUGGGCAGAAUGAAGUCCACUCGUUUGCCAUUAUGAUGAAUUUAAAUAUCCAGCCACCCAUCCCAUGAAAGCC
rnacentral:lncRNA from 1 species